GGGUAACGGAGAAUUAGGGUUCGGUUCCGGAGAGGGAGCCUGAGAAACGGCUACCACAUCUAAGGAAGGCAGCAGGCGCGUAAAUUACCCAAUCCUGAUUCAGGGAGGUAGUGACAAGGAAUAACAACCCGGAGUUCUAAACUAUCGGGAUUGCAAUGAUCGUAGUGUAAAGAAAUUAGAAAGAAACCAUUGGAGGGCAAGUCUGGUGCCAGCAGCCGCGGUAAUUCCAGCUCCAAGAGCGUAUAUUAAAGUUGUUGCAGUUAAAAAGCUCGUAGUCGAAAUUCUGUUCGGGUGAGGGUGACUUUAUUCCGGACAUCCGCGUGCACCAAGUUUCGGCUUGAGGGCAGGCAGUUUACCUUGAGAAAAUUAGAGUGUUUAAGGCAGGCGCAGCCAGAAUACAUUAGCAUGGAAUAAUGGAAAAGGACUCCGAGCCGUUGUUGGUUGGGGGAGGAGUAAUGGUGAAGA
rnacentral:rRNA from 1 species